GGCUUGAUAGCUCAGUGGUUAAAGUGCUCGUACUUUAAUCGCGAAGGUCAUGAGUUCGAUUCUCAUACAAGUCA
rnacentral:tRNA from 1 species